AGCGAACGCUGGCGGCAGGCUUAACACAUGCAAGUCGAACGCCAUCUUCGGAUGGAGUGGCAGACGGGUGAGUAACGCGUGGGAACGUACCUUUUGGUUCGGAAUAUUCUCGGGAAACUGAGAGCAAUACCGAAUAAGCCCUUAGGGGGAAAGAUUUAUUGCCAAAAGAUCGGCCCGCGUUAGAUUAGGUAGUUGGUAGGGUAAUGGCCUACCAAGCCUACGAUCUAUAGCUGGUCUGAGAGGAUGAUCAGCCACAUUGGGACUGAGACACGGCCCAAACUCCUACGGGAGGCAGCAGUGGGGAAUAUUGGACAAUGGGCACAAGCCUGAUGCAGCCAUGCCGCGUGAAUGAUGAAGGCCUUAGGGUUGUAAAAUUCUUUCAACGGGGACGAUAAUGACGGUACCCGUAGAAGAAGCCCCGGCUAACUUCGUGCCAGCCGCCGCGGUAA
rnacentral:rRNA from 1 species